rnacentral:rRNA from 1 species
UACGUAGGGUGCGAGCGUUAAUCGGAAUUACUGGGCGUAAAGGGUGCGCAGGCGGCGUCGCAAGUCAGGCGUGAAAUCCCCGGCUUAACCUGGGAACUGCACUUGAAACUACGAUGCUGGAGUAUGGCAGAGGGAGGUGGAAUUCCACGUGUAGCGGUGAAAUGCGUAGAGAUGUGGAGGAACACCGAUGGCGAAGGCAGCCUCCUGGGCCAAUACUGACGCUGAGGAGCGAAAGCGUGGGGAGCGAACAGG